GGUAGUCCAUGCCCUAAACGAUGCAUACUCGGCAUCAGCGAUACACUGUUGGUGCCUGAGGGAAACCAUUAAGUAUGCCACCUGGGGAGUACGACCGCAAGGUUGAAACUCAAAGGAAUUGGCGGGGGUCCGCACAAGCGGUGGAGCAUGUGGUUUAAUUGGAUUCAACGCCGGAAAACUCACCUGGGGAGACUGCCGGAUGUGACUCAGUCUGAAGGACUUUGUCGAAUACAGGUAGAGAGGUGGUGCAUGGCCGUCGUCAGCUCGUACCGUAAGGCGUUCUGUUAAG
rnacentral:rRNA from 1 species